rnacentral:rRNA from 1 species
AUGGCGCCGCCGGCAGCACCGUAUGAGCGGAUGAGAUUUGCUACAUUUGAAGAUGCAAGGGAGUACUAUCAGCGUUAUGCAAAAUACCAUGGCUUUGCUAUAUAUACAGAUCAUUGCAGAAUUCUUAAGUCAACUGGAGAGUACAACCGAGCAGGGAUGAGGUGUCACAAGUCUAGGACAGACAAACAAAAAAAAGGGGGUGAUGGUCCAGCAGUCCCGGAACGCAGACGAGAUGUUUUGGUGACAACAAACUGUCCUGCCCGUAUGAAGCUAAACGUGGAAGGGGCUUGGUGGGUGGUAACAAAAUAUGUUGGGCACCACAACCAUGACAUGAUAAAGAAAUUUGACCUUGUGAAGUUUCUGAGCGCUCACCGUGGGUUCACCCCGCAAGAGGAACAGUUCGUGAAGUUGGUGCAUGACUGCAACCUCCAGCCUGGGAGAAUGGUGCACAUCCUGUCAAUGAUUCACAGCAAAAGCGGCAAGCUAAGCAGCCUGCCAUACCUGCCUUCAGAUGUGGUAAAUCUGGUAGCAAAGUAUCACAGGGAAAGUCAAUUAUCAGACAUGGACGACACAAUUGCAUACUUCAUGCAGAAGGAGAAAGAAGAUCCAGAUUUCUUCUACAGAAUAAAACUGGAUGAUGAGCACCGCGUUGUGAACAUGUACUGGAUAGAUGAUGCAGCGCGCAGGUCUUAGAGGCACUUUCGUGACUGUGUGUCGUUCGAUACGACGUAUCUAACUAACAUGUACAAGAUGCCGUGCUGUCCAUUCAUUGGGAUAAACAACCAUAACCAGUCGCUGCAGUUUGGAUGCGGUUUUGUUCGCAACGAGGAUACGAGCAGCUAUGUUCGGCUGUUCAAAACAUUUCUGGAAUGCAUGGGCGGCCUCGCGCCAAUGAACAUGAUAACAGACCAAGAUUUCGGGAUGCGUGGAGGCAUUGAGGACGUGUUCCCAACAACCAUACACAGGCACUGCAGGUGGCAUGUCAUAAAAAAGGCGGAAGAGACAUUAGGCCCCUUCUUUGCUGAAAGGCCGGACCUCCACAAAGCAUUUGAGUUAUGUGUUGACCACAGCUUAACCCCAGAUGAGUUCAAACAAUGGAACGCAAUGAUAGAAAAGCACCAAGUCCAUGACAAUGAGACCCUACAAAACCUUUGGAAUAAGAGAAAAUUCUGGGUGCCAGCUUAUUUUAUGCAGUGUUUAUACCCCUUCCUGCAGACUACCCAACGCAGUGAGGGGUUUAACGCUGUUAUAAAAAGGUAUGUGAACCCUAGCAAUUCAAUUCUCAGAUUUGUCAAGCAGUACAGCGCGAUACAACAAAAAAUUCUAGGCGCAGAGCUACAACAGUUGGCGAACACAGCACUCAAAAACCCCCAGCUAUACUCAUGUAAUCCGUUGGAGAGACAGAUGAUGAGAAUUUACACACGGCAAAUUUUCUAUAGGUUCCAACAUGAGCUAAAACUGUGCAGCGGGUACACUGUGCUUAGAAUUAACGAUUACAAUUACAAAGUGUGCACGCUGACCUGUCCGACUCGGAAUGAGGACCCGGACAAGGGCAGAAACUACAUGGUGACAGCAGACAUAGCGAAUGGUGUGUACUACUGUCAAUGUUGCAAGUUUGAAAGAGAUGGGAUGCUCUGCUGCCAUGUACUAAGGGUGAUGGACUUCAGUGUUGUAAAAAAAGUGCCAGAUCGGUACAUACUUGAGCGAUGGACUUGGAAUGCUGAUGAAGCACUUUGCCCCCACGGCGCCCAAGAAGUGCUCGCGGUGCAUGAAGAUGGUCCGAACACAAGUAUGGACAUAGUGAGGCAUAUGGUAAUGACAAGAAGAUUUGCACACAUAGCAGACGACGCAUGCAAGCAUGACGAAAUGACCAGGGCAGUAGAGAGGCACACGAAAGCAUUGGAAAGGGAAUUAGAGACAAUCAAGAAGAGGAUGGCAGAGGAAGCUCUACAUCGAUUCCCCAAAAAGACCAAAACUGCUACAACUACAUCAACCGGGCCAUCAACAGAUAACUCUGAGGUAGGAUCUGGCGCGUCAAACACGCGCACACACGUCCAGAACCCUCCCAGGACAGUCACAAAAGGGCGACCGAAGCAGAUUAGGUACAAAUCAGCACUUGAGAUCCAGGCCAAACACAAAAAGAGUGCAAAGAAAGCAGUUACAGAAGAGUAG